GGGCUAGGCUGUGUAAUUCCCACUUUGACAUCCACAGAAACCUUCCUGAAGUGCUCGAAUAAGCACGAACAUGGGUCUUUCAGCAUAACCAGAGACCAUCAUUUAGCUCUGGACACGCUGUGUCAAAGUAACUCAUCAGCACUCUCCGGUGCCGUCCCCUCCAAGUGUUCUCCCAGGCUUCUUUCCAUCCCAGCCUGCUUUAUCUUCUCCCCUCUGUCCAGCCUAAUCCAUUUCUCUUUCUUUUGGUGUCUAGGCCUUGCACAUUUUUCAGGUUUGCUGCUGUUUGUUGGUUGCAGUGCAAGGUUGAAUUUCCCUAAUAGGAGGCAGCCUCACGGGAGUCAGAGAAAAGUCACAGAAGGGUGCUUAAAGCCAGCAUGGUCCUGCACAAAGCUGAUGCUCCUGCAGGACACCCCUGAGCAGCCGCGUCCCUCCCAGCCGCGUGUUCCUGUGCUGUGCCAGAGCUGCUCGCUGAGGGCAGGGCGAUGGUUUCAGCUCUCCAGUUCUGACAAAUUGCUGCUCAUUGGUAUCACUCUGAUGAAAUAAGGAAAGCCUCGAAGAACCCCAAACUUCUAUUACUUUUUAAUACGAGUAACUUUAAUAGAAAGGCUUAAGUGUUUCUUUAUAUUGCGGUGCCUCAGCAUUUCUACGGUCAUAAAUUCUUCUCUCACCAGUCUGCUAUUACUGACAUAUCAAUCCUUUCUACUUCUUUGAACACUGAAAUUGAAAGAAAACAAGGUUUAGGCUUUAUGUAUUUUUAAUUUAAUGGAAUUCAGCUUAAAGUUGUUGAAAAGCAGUUCUUGGCAUGGAGUACCGCAGCCUUUAGAAAGUCCUCAAUAACCCAGAGCAGCAGGAUGGUCAGAUGCAGGAUUGCUCAUCCUCCAGAAAUCUGCCGGGCUAUCUUUCCAAUUUUCUCUCUGGUUUUGUCACCUGGUCUCUCCAGGAUGCGAUUAUCACCAAAACACAGUGAGCAAAGCACCUCGUAGCUCUCCUGCUACAGGGAACUUGUACUGGAAGACCUAAAAAUUAGCAUUUCUAAACAGAGGCAGACACCCAGCUCCCAUUCAUUUUAAUUUUUGGAAAUGGUUCUCUAAAGCCUGUAAGUGGCCUGGAAAAUCUAAAUCUUAAUCUCCAGGUAUGUUAGUUGUUAUAGUAAUAAGGAAGGCUUAACAGUAGUGGGGUCACAGUAUAAUUGCAGCCUAUGUGCUCUGUGGUUGAGAGCAGAAAUCACCGUACUUACAACAGUAAUGACGGUUGUCCUUUCUUCUCUUUAGUUAAGAAUAAUAAGUUAAACGUUCUGCUCUCAGUAAGUAAGGUAUUCUAGCAGUUUGUUCAGCUAGUUUUCACAGUUGUAGCUUGUCUCAGCUAUUCCAAAAACGAGGAGACAAAUGUAUAUUUUAACAAGACUUCUUUCCAAAGACAGUUCAAGCUGAAAAUCAGAUUUAAAAGUGAAAAAUAAAAUGUUUUAGAUCAACCUGAAAUGGUAUGAC
ensembl:lncRNA